rnacentral:rRNA from 1 species
GACGAACGCUGGCGGCGUGCUUAACACAUGCAAGUCGAACGAAGUGGCGAACGGGUGAGUAACGCGUAAUCAACCUGCCCUUCAUAGGGGGACAACAGUUGGAAACGACUGCUAAUACCGCAUACUGAAGGAGGGGAUUGCGUCUGAUUAGCUAGUUGGAGGGGUAACGGCCCACCAAGGCGAUGAUGAGUAGGCGGUAUGGGAGGCGGAACAGCCACAUUGGGACUGGGGAGAGGCCCAGAAUCCUAAGGGAGGCAGCAGUUGGGGAUCGUCCGCAAUGGACGAAAGUCUGACGGAGCAACGCCGCGUGAGGGAUGACGGCCUUCGGGUUGUAAAGCUCUGUUAAUCGGGACGCGGUACCGGAAUAGAAAGCCACGGCUAACUACGUGCCAGCAGCCGCGGUAAUUC